AUUGAACGCUGGCGGCAGGCCUAACACAUGCAAGUCGAGCGGAUGACAGGCGCUAGCUCCUGGAUUCAGCGGCGGACGGGUGAGUAAUGCCUAGGAAUCUGCCUGGUAGUGGGGGACAACGUUUCGAAAGGAACGCUAAUACCGCAUACGUCCUACGGGAGAAAGCAGGGGACCUUCGGGCCUUGCGCUAUUAGAUGAGCCUGGGUCGGAUUAGCUAGUUGGUGAGGUAAUGGCUCACCAAGGCGACGAUCCGUAACUGGUCUGAGAGGAUGAUCAGUCACAAUGGAACUGAGACACGGUCCAGACUCCUACGGGAGGCAGCAGUGGGGAAUAUUGGACAAUGGGCGAAAGCCUGAUCCAGCCAUGCCGCGUGUGUGAAGAAGGUCUUCGGAUUGUAAAGCACUUUAAGUUGGGAGGAAGGGCUGUAGAUUAAUACUCUGCAAUUUUGACGUUACCGACAGAAUAAGCACCGGCUAACUCUGUGCCAGCCGCCGCGGUAACAC
rnacentral:rRNA from 1 species